GCCGGGCUAGCUCAAUCGGUAGAGCGUGUGGCUCUUAUGCUAGUUCAUAACAACCUAGGAUCACCACAAGGCUGCGGGUUCGACCCCCGCGUUCGGCU